rnacentral:lncRNA from 1 species
CAUGGUUUUUCUCAACCCAUGAAAAAUGCUGAUAUGCUGACUGCACUGGGAAGAAUGCAAUAUUAAUCACAGUAGAGCUGCAAUUACAAAUGUAAGAUAUUUCAGCUAAGCAGAAAGGAUAGUCUCUCACGCCUAAGGCACUGAUGGGAUGGGUGACCAGAAAAGUGGAUGACCAACUCUGUAUGGUGAUGCAUAGGUACCUUGUGAUGGUGCACAGUCCAGAGCAACUGAGUUUUGCGGAUUGUGUUGAAAGUGUCAGAAGACCUUGA